GAGAACUUAACUGGGCCGUUGGGAAUGCACGUGCGCACACAUGAGCAGGGUCCAUCCCUAUCCCCACCGGAUCCAGUCGCACCCCCACUCAGCCGUCUCUUGCCCCAAUCCGAGUACUCUUUGUACCUGCGGCGGCUGCUUGAAUCCCCAGCGUAGCAGUGAUGGAAGAUGUCGGCCUUGAAUUCUUGCAGGAUACCGUCGACCCGAGGAGUUUGUCGACAGCCUUGAACACCCAGAUCCAGUACCUCUUGCAUUGUUAACGCCUGACGAAGCGAAUCCAGCUGGCCAGGAAGCCCGGAAUGUUGCAUCUGGAUGCGGCAGCAAGUUGACGGUGGUGGCGCUGGUAGGCCGAGCUGCGGCGACCGACGGUAGCGGGAGAUAUCACCCACUGCGUCCGCGCAAUCUAUUGACAGGGUAACCCAGAAACACCUGGAUGGACGAAGAGGAUAAUUGUUUUGUGUUGUUUACCGCUGUACGUUCAUUGACAUGCUCAGCCUGGGGCUAUAUUAAUUUAUUUUUGGUCUCACUUGAAUUAAUGAUGAAGCUAACUGAAAGCUUAGGCCUGUUACAUAUGCAUAUUGUUAUAUGAUGAUUAGGUGGCACAGCAUUUUAAAAUUUGUCUGAUGUACAUGUGAAAAGUUUCAGAUGUAGUAACGGUUAGCUUUAAAAAUUCAGGUUGGAUUAGUUUAUGUGCUCAAGAGAAACUAAUAAUUUUCUUGUGGAGGAGGCAUCAGGCAUUACAAAUCAUUGAACAUUAAGUUGUUUUCUUUUCUAGUUCUACCUCCUAGCUAUGUAGAAAAGAUAUCAUGUAUUGCUGCAAUUGAAAUCUUGAACUAGUUGCUAAGUUGACCAAAUAUGCAUUGGUACUAAAUAUGCACAUAGAUGUUCAGUAGCAUUUCUAACUAAAAUUGGAUUUUGGUUCUCACCAAAUCACUAGUUUUUGCUUUGAAAUGACCAUUCACAUGGCAGGCCCAAAAGGUACUCCCUCCGUAAACUAAUAUAAGAGCGUUUACAUCACUACUUUAGUGAUCUAAACGCUCUUGUAUUAGUUUACAGAGGGAGUACUUGGUAAGCUCAAAAAUUACAAGUCUCCAGGAGAAGCCCUCGGAUUUAGUUGUUAAGCCGAGGAACCACAAGGUCAGGCCAGGUUGACUGAGUCAGGUUGAAUAUUCAGUAUGUGCACACCUCUGCAUAUCAUAUUAGGUUGAAUAUUCACCACAUCACUAUCAUGUUCUGGUUUGUACUUUCCGGCUACCAUACCUGUGCAUAGCAUUGCUUUUUUCAUAUUGUUACUUGGUGAUGCUCAAAUUUAUUAUAUGUGCAAUUUUCAGAUCUAAAUUGCUCUUAAGUAAGCCCAGUUUCCAAUAAAAUGAUUUAUGAGGAAGAUUUUGGCUGCCAUAGAUGUGCAUAUUAUUUGUUUUCAUCAUUUUAUUACCCGAUGAUGACCAAAUUUACCUUGCAACUUCGGAUCUGAAUUGCAGUUCUAAAACUAAGCAUGUUCUCUAAAUAAGAGUUGUGAGAAUGACUGUGCAACAGGAGAACCCCUGUUGGUUAAAAGGAAUUACCCUUCUGUCUUGUGGCACAUGUGUGCCGGCCUGAAAGCUUUGGUGGUGAGCGGGGUUCCUUUCUCCGAGAAAAGGGACGGGUUAGGAUUUGAGGACCGCCUGGCAAUUCUGCCUGGUGGUAGAAUGGCAGGCAAUGGGGAGGUUGAUUUUGUGGGCACUAACGGUGCUUGUCGUGAAGAGUGGUGGCCGGUCUGCAAGUGUGAAUGCCCUACACGGUUUAGCUGCACCAGAUAAGCAGAGAGGUCUCGGACGUCCAACUAACAGCAGAGAGAAGGUUCCUUACGAGAGGCUGAGCAAGCGAAAAUGUUUCUGCAGCAUUUGUCAGCGCGAAGGUCACAAGCGAACCACCUGCCUUUAACUGGGGAUGACCCCAAGAAAUGACAAAAACAUGGCAAAUGCAAGAACUGUGGGAUGGAAGGACACCAACGGAACAUGUGCACACGGCCGCUUGUUAUAGCUGAGAAAAAUUUCAUGCUUGAUUCUGUAGAUUGCAAAACUCUGUAAGCUGAGGAUUUUCUGGUGUGUUUCAGCGAGCAUUUGCUCCACGCUUGUUCCUUUGAUUCAAUACAGUAGACAUGUUGAAUUAAUGAGUAAACUUUGUUGUUGUAGAUCAAUAAAUUGUUGGGGUUCACAUUUCUGAAUGCUUAAAUUGUCCACGUUUGAAA